rnacentral:rRNA from 1 species
CUGAGUACGGCGGAACACGUGAAAUUCCGUCGGAAUCCGGGAGGACCAUCUCCCAAGGCUAAAUACUCCCUAGUGACCGAUAGUGAACCAGUACCGUGAGGGAAAGGUGAAAAGCACCCCGGAAGGGGAGUGAAACAGUUCCUGAAACCGUGUGCCUACAAGUAGUUAGAGCCCGUUAAUGGGUGAUAGCGUGCCUUUUGUAGAAUGAACCGGCGAGUUACGAUUUGUUGCAAGGUUAAGCGGAAAAAGCGGAGCCGUAGCGAAAGCGAGUCUGAAUAGGGCGCAUAAGUAACAGGUCGUAGACCCGAAACCAGGUGAUCUACCCAUGUCCAGGAUGAAGGUAAGGUAAUACUUACUGGAGGUCCGAACCCACGCACGUUGAAAAGUGCGGGGAUGAGGUGUGGGUAGCGGAGAAAUUCCAAUCGAACUUGGAGAUAGCUGGUUCUCUCCGAAAUAGCUUUAGGGCUAGCCUCGAGGUAAAGAGUCAUGGAGGUAGAGCACUGUUUGGACUAGGGGCCCUUCUCGGGUUACCGAAUUCAGAUAAACUCCGAAUGCCAUGUACUUAUACUCGGGAGUCAGACUGCGAGUGAUAAGAUCCGUAGUCGAAAGGGAAACAGCCCAGACCACCAGUUAAGGUCCCCAAAUAUAUGUUAAGUGGAAAAGGAUGUGGGGUUGCUUAGACAACCAGGAUGUUGGCUUAGAAGCAGCCACCAUUGAAAGAGUGCGUAAUAGCUCACUGGUCGAGUGACCCCGCGCCGAAAAUGUACCGGGGCUAAACAUAUUACCGAAACUGUGGAUGAACCUCUUUAGAGGUUCGUGGUAGGAGAGCGUUCUAAGGGCGGUGAAGUCAGACCGGAAGGACUGGUGGAGCGCUUAGAAGUGAGAAUGCCGGUAUGAGUAGCGAAAGAAGGGUGAGAAUCCCUUCCACCGAAUAUCUAAGGUUUCCUGAGGAAGGCUCGUCCGCUCAGGGUUAGUCGGGACCUAAGCCGAGGCCGAUAGGCGUAGGCGAUGGACAACAGGUAGAGAUUCCUGUACCAGUGCUAAUUGUUUAACCGAUGGGGUGACACAGAAGGAUAGGGAAUCGCACGAAUGGAAAUGUGCGUCCAAGCAGUGAGUGUGAG